CCUACGGGCGGCAGCAGUAGGGAAUCUUCCACAAUGGGCGCAAGCCUGAUGGAGCAACGCCGCGUGGGUGAAGAAGGUCCUCGGAUCGUUAAACUCUGUUGUUAGAGAAGAAAGGGCGUGAGAGUAACUAUUUUCGUUUCGACGGUAUCUAACCAGAACGCCACGGCUAACUACGUGCGAGAAGGUGCGGUGAUACGUAGGUGGCAAGCGUUAUCCGGAUUUAUUGGGCGUAAAGGGAACGCAGGCGGUCUGUUAAGUCUGAUGUGAAAGCCUUCGGCUUAACCGGAGUAGUGCAUUGGAAACUGGGAGACUUGAGUGCAGAAGAGGAGAGUGGAACUCGAGGUGUAGCGGUGAAAUGCGUAGAUAUAUGGAAGAACACCAGUGGCGAAAGCGGCUCUCUGGUCUGUAACUGACGCUGAGGUUCGAAAGCGUGGGUAGCAAACAGGAUUAGAUACCCUUGUAGUC
rnacentral:rRNA from 1 species